UGAGGAAUAUUGGUCAAUGGGAGGAAUCCUGAACCAGCCAUGCCGCGUGCAGGACGACGGCUCUACGAGUUGUAAACUGCUUUUGUACCGGGGUAAAAUGCCUUACGAGUAGGGUUUUGAAAGUACGGUACGAAUAAGGAUCGGCUAACUCCGUGCCAGCAGCCGCGGUAAUACGGAGGAUCCGAGCGUUAUCCGGAUUCAUUGGGUUUAAAGGGUGCGUAGGUUGUUUUAUAAGUUAGCGGUGAAAUACCGAUGCUCAACAUCGGGGCUGCCGCUGAUACUGUAGGACUAGAGAUCGGAUGCAGCAGGCGGAAUGUGUAGUGUAGCGGUGAAAUGCAUAGAUAUUACACAGAACACCGAUUGCGAAGGCAGCUUGCUAGGCCGGAUCUGACACUGAUGCACGAAAGCGUGGGGAUCGAACA
rnacentral:rRNA from 1 species